CAGGUGAGGUUUUGAAAAGCCAGUGUGCUGUCAGGGACUCUCUCCCCAGGUCCCAGCAGCUUGCGCCUCCCUCCCUCUGGUUCUCUGCUCAGGUGCUUGUAUAGGAAGAGAGUCUCCUUUCACAGCUUUCUGUGGAAGAGCCCUUAACCCACCCCACAGUCACACUCUGCCUUAUCCUGCUCAGAGCACUUUGGUUGGACUGUGCAAGAGCAGGUGACACUGACUUCCAGGUGUUCUUUUCUGUUUCAUUGUUUCCUUGCUAUAGUGUAUGCUCCCUUGAGGGCAGGUGCUCUCAUUGCUUUCUUUUCAAUAUUGGAAAUAUCAUCUCAUUGCACUCAGAUUAUAUUUAUGGGAAGAAUGUAUCAGAUCCCCUUGCAACUGCAGUAAGGACGUGUUCUGUUUGUAAGAAUUAGGAGUUGAAAAUGAAGUGUUUUACUGCUGCUUCUCUAUCACUGUGCAGGUAACUUUCUGUCCACUAGAGGGAAGCGUGGGAAAGCUUCUUGGAGGGCUCUGAAAAAGUGGAUCUACCAUUACAAGCUUUCCAAAGGAAAUAACUUAGAAAAGAGAAUAUCAAAAACAUAAUACUCUGUCUCACUUGUGUACUCCAGCUAUCUGAAGAGAUGCAAGUGUAACUUAAUGUGAGGGAAAAUCCAUCACCUUAUCAGCCUCACACUGCACUUCCCAGAGUCCUUAGUCCUGGAAACGCUGGCCCAGGGCAGUGACUGAGGAGUGCGUCACACAUCCCUUAUGGUGGUGUAAAGUGGUUCAUCUUUUGUGGAUUUCAUAUUUUCACCUGUUCUGGUGUUUAUGUGCGGACAGCCGAUUCCAGAGUGGAUGUUUCCAGCUGAAGUACUCGUGCCUUACCACACAGAUGCCAAGAACUGUGGUUACGUUCUGGAUCCUGCCAAAUUCCCUGAAGCAAGGCUUGAACUCGCCAGGAAGUAUGGCUAUAUUUUACCCGAUAUCACUAAAGAUGAACUCUUCAAGAUGCUCAGUACUCGAAAGGAUCCAAGGCAGAUUUUCUUUGGCCUUGCCCCUGGAUGGGAAGUGAAUAUGGCAGAUAAGUGAAUGCUGAAACCUACAGAUGAAGAAACUGCUCAUGAAUUCCCUUCUAGAAAGCAGAGUGUGGAGAGAGUAUCAGAGAAGAGACUAAAUCAUACAGAAUUUUCACUGCAUUUUCCUGCUGAACAGUUCUCAAGAUGUUGAUGUCAGUUUUCAGUGCAGUAAUCUCUUUUUCCUUUUCAUGUAAAAUUAAAAUUACAGGAAGGACUGCA